rnacentral:rRNA from 1 species
GACGAACGCUGGCGGCGUGCUUAACACAUGCAAGUCGAGCGGUAAGGCCCUUUCGGGGGUACACGAGCGGCGAACGGGUGAGUAACACGUGGGUGACCUGCCCUCAGCUCUGGGAUAAGCCCGGGAAACUGGGUCUAAUACCGGAUAUGACUCCACGGUGCAUGUCGUGGGGUGGAAAGCCUUGUGCGGCUGAGGAUGGGCCCGCGGCCUAUCAGCUUGUUGGUGGGGUGAUGGCCACCAAGGCGACGACGGUAGCCGGCCUGAGAGGGCGACCGGCCGACACUGGGACUGAGACACGGCCAGACUCCUACGGGAGGCAGCAGUGGGGAAUCUUGCGCAAUGGGCGAAAGCCUGACGCAGCGA